rnacentral:misc_RNA from 1 species
GAUGAAGAACGCAGCGAAAUGCGAUAAGUAAUGUGAAUUGCAGAGUUCAGUGAAUCAUCGAAUCUUUGAACGCACAUUGCGCCCGUUAGUAUUCUGACGGGCAUGCCUGUCCGAGCGUCAUUUCAACCCUCGACCUCCCUUUGGGGAAGUCGGCGUUGGGGACCGGCAGCACACCGCCGGCCCUGAAAUGGAGUGGCGGCCCGUCCGCGGCGACCUCUGCGUAGUAAACCAACUCGCACCGGAACCCCGACGUGGCCACGCCGUAAAACACCCAACUUCUGAACGUUGACCUCGAAUCAGGUAGGACUACCCGCUGAACUUAAGCAUAUCAAUAAGCGGAGGA